UACGUAGGGGGCAAGCGUUGUCCGGAAUCAUUGGGCGUAAAGAGCGUGUAGGCGGCCCGAUAAGUCCGCUGUGAAAGUCCAGGGCUCAACCCUGGAAUGCCGGUGGAUACUGUCGGGCUCGAAUCCGGAGGAGGUGAGUGGAAUUCCUGGUGUAGCGGUGAAAUGCGCAGAUAUCAGGAGGAACACCAAUGGCGAAGGCAGCUCACUGGGACGGUAUUGACGCUGAGGCACGAAAGCGUGGGGAUCAAACAGG
rnacentral:rRNA from 1 species